UACGUAGGGUGCGAGCGUUGUCCGGAAUUAUUGGGCGUAAAGAGCUCGUAGGCGGCUUGUCACGUCGGAUGUGAAAGCUCGGGGCUUAACCCCGAGUCUGCAUUCGAUACGGGCUAGCUAGAGUGUGGUAGGGGAGAUCGGAAUUCCUGGUGUAGCGGUGAAAUGCGCAGAUAUCAGGAGGAACACCGGUGGCGAAGGCGGCUUGCUGGGCCUUACCUGACGCUGAGGAGCGAAAGCGUGGGGAGCGAACAGG
rnacentral:rRNA from 1 species